rnacentral:rRNA from 1 species
GACGAACGCUGGCGGCGUGCCUAAUACAUGCAAGUCGAACGCUUCUUUCCUCCCGAGUGCUUGCACUCAAUUGGAAAGAGGAGUGGCGGACGGGUGAGUAACACGUGGGUAACCUACCCAUCAGAGGGGGAUAACACUUGGAAACAGGUGCUAAUACCGCAUAACAGUUUAUGCCGCAUGGCAUAAGAGUGAAAGGCGCUUUCGGGUGUCGCUGAUGGAUGGACCCGCGGUGCAUUAGCUAGUUGGUGAGGUAACGGCUCACCAAGGCCACGAUGCAUAGACGACCUGAGAGGGUGAUCGGCCACACUGGGAAUGAGACACGGCCCAGACUCCUACGGGAGGCAGCAGUAGGGAAUCUUCGGCAAUGGACGAAAGUCUGACCGAGCAACGCCGCGUGAGUGAAGAAGGUUUUCGGAUCGUAAAACUCUGUUGUUAGAGAAGAACAAGGACGUUAGUAACUGAACGUCCCCUGACGGUAUCUAACCAGAAAGCCACGGCUAACUACGUG